rnacentral:rRNA from 1 species
AGAGUUUGAUCAUGGCUCAGGACGAACGCUGGCGGCGUGCUUAACACAUGCAAGUCGAACGGUAAGGCCCUUCGGGGUACACGAGUGGCGAACGGGUGAGUAACACGUGGGCAAUCUGCCCUGCACAUCGGGAUAAGCCUAGGAAACUGGGUCUAAUACCGAAUAGGACCACAGGACACAUGUCCUGUGGUGGAAAGCUUUUGCGGUGUGGGAUGGGCCCGCGGCCUAUCAGCUUGUUGGUGGGGUGAUAGCCUACCAAGGCGACGACGGGUAGCCGGCCUGAGAGGGUGUCCGGCCACACUGGGACUGAGAUACGGCCCAGACUCCUACGGGAGGCAGCAGUGGGGAAUAUUGCACAAUGGGCGAAAGCCUGAUGCAGCGACGCCGCGUGGGGGAUGACGGCCUUCGGGUUGUAAACCUCUUUCACCAUCGACGAAGGUCCGGGUUUUCUCGGGCUGACGGUAGGUGGAGAAGAAGCACCGGCCAACUACGUGCCAGCAGCCGCGGUAAUACGUAGGGUGCGAGCGUUGUCCGGAAUUACUGGGCGUAAAGAGCUCGUAGGUGGUUUGUCGCGUUGUUCGUGAAAUCUCACGGCUUAACUGUGAGCGUGCGGGCGAUACGGGCAGACUUGAGUACUGCAGGGGAGACUGGAAUUCCUGGUGUAGCGGUAGAAUGCGCAGAUAUCAGGAGGAACACCGGUGGCGAAGGCGGGUCUCUGGGCAGUAACUGACGCUGAGGAGCGAAAGCGUGGGGAGCGAACAGGAUUAGAUACCCUGGUAGUCCAA